UCAAGAGUCGGAGGCUUAACUGAGCCGCUCAGGCAUCCCAAACAUCUGUUAUUUUUAAAAUGAAUUUAAACCAAUAGAAAAUUUGCAGUAAGGUAGACUACCUGGGGUAUAAAAUUUUAAAAUACACAAACAUAGAAACGCACAUUUACAAAUAGGGAAAAUACACAAAGAUGAACACGGGCUCUAAGGCAGUCUAGUACUAUUAAUACAGAAGUGCUUAUCGAGCUGGUAUUUGGGGAAGGGAAGUGUGUUUUCUCACUGCAUUUCCUAAUGUUUGCUGAUGUGAUUGCGUNNNNNNNNNNNNNNNNNNNAACGCGGAUGUAAUGAAAGCAGCAUGACACUGUAUUGAAAGUAAACGGAAGAGGCAGCUCUGCAAGGCAAGGAGAGAGUACAGGAGCAGCAUGAGUGAAGCCUAGGACCCAGGAAGUCUCUGUGGAGGUUCCCAAUUUGGCAGUGGCAUCUGUUUCCCACUGAGACCGCGACUAGCCCACGGCUCUGCCCUAUCAGACCCGUGAAGAAGACAGAAGGAAACAAUAAUGUCUACUAUGCUGUGAUGGUGACUAACACAGGAAGCCGCUGGAGUUCUCGCUGGCGGGUAGGAGGUCAUCGAGGAUUAAAGGUCAUGGAAAAACAUACUAUC
rnacentral:lncRNA from 1 species